rnacentral:rRNA from 1 species
CCUACGGGACGCAGCAGUGAGGAAUAUUGGUCAAGGGGCUUACGCCUGAACCAGCCAAGUCGCGUGAGGGAAGACUGCCCUAUGGGUUGUAAACCUCUUUUGUCAGGGAGCAAUUGGCGCUACGUGUAGCGUUAUCGAGAGUACCUGAAGAAAAAGCAUCGGCUAACUACGUGCCAGCAGCCGCGGUAAUACGUAGGGGGCGAGCGUUGUCCGGAAUCACUGGGCGUAAAGGGCGCGUAGGCGGUAAUAUAAGUCAGAUGUGAAAGGUGGGGGCUCAACCCCUAGAGUGCAACUGAUACUGUAUA